CUAUAUUAAAAAGCCUUAUCAAACUGAUCUCAAGUCAUUUUUCAAGAAUUAUGAAGUCUGCAACCAACAAGUGGCCUCCACCAAUCUCUGGAUAUAUCUCUCAACUAAUAAGUAGUAUAAGCAACUCUAUGCGACUUAAGGAAACUAAGUUUAUGCAACUUCUCACGACAAUUAAUCAAGAACUCAUAGGAAUCCUUGUCUAUGGC
rnacentral:lncRNA from 1 species